rnacentral:SRP_RNA from 1 species
UGGCAGGCUAGGCUGGGAGGUUAGCCCUCUCCUGUCACCGUGAAUGGGCUAUACGCGGAGCUGAAGCUUGCAGAGCGGUUGUUUUGCCUGAACAAAGGUCUUGGGGUGGACGUUGACGUUCUGUCCUGCAGGAUUGAUGCAUCAGGAAACUGGUCAGGUCCGGAAGGAAGCAGCCAUAACUGGUGUUCUCAAUGCUUGCGGGGUAGCGGAACUGAGGAAGCUUCAAGGUCAGCCUUUGUCAGGCUUGCAGCUCAUCUGCAGGCGUGCCUGCCA